rnacentral:rRNA from 1 species
GAUGAACGCUGACGGCGUGCCUAAUACAUGCAAGUCGAGCGAACGGACGAGAAGCUUGCUUCUCUGAUGUUAGCGGCGGACGGGUGAGUAACACGUGGAUAACCUACCUAUAAGACUGGGAUAACUUCGGGAAACCGGAGCUAAUACCGGAUAAUAUUUUGAACCGCAUGGUUCAAAAGUGAAAGACGGUCUUGCCGUCACUUAUAGAUGGAUCCGCGCUGCAUUAGCUAGUUGGUAAGGUAACGGCUUACCAAGGCAACGAUGCAUAGCCGACCUGAGAGGGUGAUCGGCCACACUGGAACUGAGACACGGUCCAGACUCCUACGGGAGGCAGCAGUAGGGAAUCUUCCGCAAUGGGCGAAAGCCUGACGGAGCAACGCCGCGUGAGUGAUGAAGGUCUUCGGAUCGUAAAACUCUGUCAUUAGGGAAGAACAUAUGUGUAAGUAACUGUGCACAUCUUGACGGUACCUAAUCAGAAAGCCACGGCUAACUACGUG